CUCCACACCGCCUUGCAAGCUGAGGGAGCCGGCUCCGGCCUCUGCCAGCCCAGGAAGGGGCUCCCACAGUGCAGCGGCGGGCUGAAGGACUCCUCAAGUGCCACCAAAGUGGGAGCCCAGGCAGAGGAGGCGCCGAGAGCGAGCGAGGGCUGCCUGCCAGCACGCUGUCACGUCUCAGCAAUAGACUGCUCUUGAGGCUGGAGUGCAAUGUUGUUAUCAUAGCUCACUGCAACCUGGAACCCCUAGUCUCAAGAGAUCCUCCAGCCUCAGCCUCCCUGUUCCAGGAUACAUGUGCAGGAUGUGCAAGUUUGCUACAUGGGUAAAUAUGUGCCAUGGCAGUUUGCUGCAUCUAUUAACCCAUUACCUAGGUAUUAAGCCCGAUCCCAGAAAACCUGCAGAGAGAAGCAGCAGCUGGACCUCGGGAUGACUAUGGCUGGACGUCAGGAGAGAAGCAGUUUGACUUCAGAGGGACAGCUUGAUGGUGUAACUUCAGAGAAGAAUCUGGUUAGAGAUGGCUAGACUCCAGGAAAAGAUUACCUACCCUUCCCCUACCCUUUUCUCAGCUCCCCUUCCCACUGAGAGCCACUUUCACCGCAAUAAAAUCCCCCACAUGCACUAUCCUUC
rnacentral:lncRNA from 10 species